AUCUUAUUGCUUAGGAAGAAGAGGUAGGAAGAUUGAACAUUUGAGGUCAGCCUGAGCUACACGGUGAGUGCAAAGCCAGUUUGAGCUACACAGCAAGUUCUAAGCCACCCUGCGCUGUACAGUGAGUCCAGAAUAGCGAGAUACAUAAUCGAAUGGUGUCCUAACAAACACACAAAACCAAAAACCAAAACAAACCAAAAAUCCCUCUGGAGGUUCUCUGCCGGUGAGGGAAUGAAGAUGCCUUUGUUGCAGCCAUGUGUCCUUCUCCUUGGUUUCCUAUGCCUGGGCUGCACUCAUCUCCCACCAGGCUAUCGUUCCUUCAGCGAGACUAAUUACCUGUGAUGGCUCUUCUUGGCUGUCAACCGAAUACAUCUGGAAUUAACGAAUUCAUCUCUCGGAUUUCUUCACUGUGGGUGGAGUUAUUUUUUGGCUGCGAGGUAAUUUUCUUGAUUAAAUCAUUUAAAGUGGGAAGACUGACCUUUAAUCCAGAUCCUCUGAGCUGGGAAGAUCCACCUUUAAUCUGGACCCCACUUGCUGGCAGCCAAUAUAGAGGACAGGGAAGAGGGAAGCUUCUGCUCGCGGCCUGCUUGCCCUUGGUCUCACUGGCAAGUCCGUCCCUCCACUGGCAUUUGAGCUGACUUCUUUGGGAUUCUGGCAGAUACUGAAGACCAGCUGAGACAUCCAGCCUUGUGGACUCAACAACUACUGGACUCUUGGAUUUUCCUUUGAGGGACAACCAUCGUUGGACUAGCUGGAUCAUGGCCUCACUGGAGUUACAAGCGUGUGCGGCCAUGCAAGGCUUGUGCAUGGCUGCUAGCAGUGGAAUUCAGGUCCUAAGGCUCACUCAGCAAUCG
rnacentral:lncRNA from 1 species